GGUCAGUAGACAUCACUGCCUCCACCACCUGCAUAUGAGUCCACACCACACAGGAAACCAGCCGGUCGCCCAGAGCUGGAUGGGUGUAUUCUAACACGAGCUCGGCCUGCCACUUCAUCUUGGGACCCAGUUGAAGCAACUUUUCCUGACAAGCCCAGAGGUUGGACCGGAGGUACGGCCAUCCGUCGCAUGCUAUGGCGAGUGGCAACCAAUGACGUUCUAAAACAGUAUAUCCUGCGGGGCAGAAAGGGAAAGAAGGCCUUCCAGGAACUGACUAUCUGCAGGGUUA